AGUAAGGAAUAUUGGUCAAUGGACGCAAGUCUGAACCAGCCAUGCCGCGUGGAGGAUGAAGGUCCUCUGGAUUGUAAACUUCUUUUAUCUGGGAAGAAACCCAAGAUUUCUAUUUUGGUUGACGGUACCAGAUGAAUAAGCACCGGCUAACUCCGUGCCAGCAGCCGCGGUAAUACGGAGGGUGCAAGCGUUAUCCGGAUUCACUGGGUUUAAAGGGUGCGUAGGCGGGCAGGUAAGUCAGUGGUGAAAUCCCCGAGCUUAACUUGGGAACUGCCGUUGAUACUAUCUGUCUUGAAUACUGUGGAGGUAAGCGGAAUAUGUCAUGUAGCGGUGAAAUGCUUAGAUAUGACAUAGAACACCUAUUGCGAAGGCAGCUUGCUACACAGUCAUUGACGCUGAGGCACGAAAGCGUGGGGAUCAAA
rnacentral:rRNA from 1 species